UUCAGGAUCAAGAGAACGUUAAGUCUCCUCCUUGUGGUUUCCAGUGCUCUACACAUUCAGAGAAACUUCUCUAGGAAUGAACUAUAGAAAUGGCCUCUGAAAAUAUAGUCUUGGAGACCUUCUGACAGAUAGUAAUCCCAGAUGGAAAAUAAUCCAUCUGCCUGAGUACGCGUAUGAAAACACAUGGAGCUGAGCCAGAGCUAAGCUGGACCUCCAUGGUUCAGAAAUCUCUAGAUCGAAAGAAUCCACAUCCUAAACUAACAUAGAGCUCAUCGUGAGACCUGAACUUUACACCUGGAGCUGUGAUGCAUGAGAUGUUCAAGUU